rnacentral:rRNA from 1 species
GACGUAGGGCGCGAGCGUUGUCCGGAUUUAUUGGGCGUAAAGAGCUCGUAGGCGGCUUGUCGCGUCGUCCGUGAAAACCUGCAGCUCAACUGCAGGCUUGCGGUCGAUACGGGCAGGCUAGAGUUCGGUAGGGGAGACUGGAAUUCCUGGUGUAGCGGUGGAAUGCGCAGAUAUCAGGAGGAACACCGAUGGCGAAGGCAGGUCUCUGGGCCACUACUGACGCUGAGAAGCGAAAGCAUGGGGAGCGAACAGG